rnacentral:rRNA from 1 species
CCUACGGGUGGCUGCAGUGGGGAAUAUUGGACAAUGGGCGAAAGCCUGAUCCAGCCAUGCCGCGUGUGUGAAGAAGGCCUUCGGGUUGUAAAGCACUUUCAGUUGGGAAGAAAGCCUUGGGGCUAAUACCCUCGAGGAAGGACAUCACCCACAGAAGAAGCACCGGCUAACUCCGUGCCAGCAGCCGCGGUAAUACGGAGGGUGCGAGCGUUAAUCGGAAUUACUGGGCGUAAAGCGCGCGUAGGCGGUCUGAUAAGCCGGUUGUGAAAGCCCCGGGCUCAACCUGGGAACGGCAUCCGGAACUGUCAGGCUAGAGUGCAGGAGAGGAAGGUAGAAUUCCCGGUGUAGCGGUGAAAUGCGUAGAGAUCGGGAGGAAUACCAGUGGCGAAGGCGGCCUUCUGGACUGACACUGACGCUGAGGUGCGAAAGCGUGGGUAGCAAACAGGAUUAGAUACCCCAGUAGUC